AGCAGCAGCCGCGGUAAUACGUAGGUGGCAAGCGUUGUCCGGAAUUAUUGGGCGUAAAGGGCUCGCAGGCGGUUUCUUAAGUCUGAUGUGAAAGCCCCCGGCUCAACCGGGGAGGGUCAUUGGAAACUGGGAAACUUGAGUGCAGAAGAGGAGAGUGGAAUUCCACGUGUAGCGGUGAAAUGCGUAGAGAUGUGGAGGAACACCAGUGGCGAAGGCGACUCUCUGGCCUGUAACUGACGCUGAGGAGCGAAAGCGUGGGGAGCGAACAGGAUUAGAUACCCCCGUAGUCCCUGUCUCUUAUAA
rnacentral:rRNA from 1 species